rnacentral:rRNA from 1 species
ACUCCUACGGGAGGCAGCAGUGGGGAAUAUUGCACAAUGGGCGCAAGCCUGAUGCAGCAACGCCGUGUGAGUGAAGAAGGUUUUCGGAUCGUAAAACUCUGUCCUAAGGGAAGAAACAAAUGACGGUACCUUAGGAGGAAGCCCCGGGCUAACUACGUGCCAGCAGCCGCGGUAAUACGUAGGGGGCAAGCGUUAUCCGGAAUCACUGGGCGUAAAGGGUGCGUAGGCGGCUUAGCAAGCCAGGGGUGAAAGGCAUUGGCUCAACCAAUGUAAGCCUUUGGAACUGUUAAGCUUGAGUGCAGGAGAGGUAAGUGGAAUUCCUAGUGUAGAGGUGAAAUUCGUAGAUAUAGGAGGAACACCAGUGGCGAAGGCGACUUACUGGACUGUAACUGACGCUGAUGCACGAAAGCGUGGGU